GGGAGUUCUUAUGUUUUGGUUUUGUAGCAGAUUAUGUAAAAUCUCAAUCAUAGAUGGUUUAAUGUAAUCAAUCUGUUGGGUUGUGUCAAAAAACUUUAGAUGGACGAUUAUGUAAAUUGAGUCGAACUUCAAAUAGGUUUCGGAUCAUUAAUUUCUUCAAAAAUUGUAAAUUUUUUUCCCACAUAAAGUAGAUGUCAUUAGAGUGCGCAGCGCGCAUUCAUUUAAAUCUUUUUAAAGACGACCCCAUUGGGUUUCUAACAAGAAGGAUUAAUGUUGAACCUCAGC
rnacentral:lncRNA from 1 species